rnacentral:lncRNA from 1 species
UGAAACUAUAUGAUAUAGUUGAUGUUGAAUGACAUUGUUGAUUAUUGAUAAUCAUGUUGAUGUGUGAUGGUGAAUACUAUGAUUUAUUUGUGUGGGCAUGUUUUCUUGAUAAUGCAAUGUUGUGGAGAUAAUCAAUAUAAUUGGGUGUCGUCCUAUAUAUUGAGUUGAGAUUGUGAAUUGUUGUCGCAUUAUCGAGUUCUUACACAUGUCCAUGCAUCAUAGUCGUUGUUGCUGUAAAAGGGAUGACUCUUUUACUUCGAGAUUAUUGUAAGGCAGAGGUGAGCCUUACAUGCGAUGUUGACUUGUCCAUCGGAGGUGACGACCUUGUUGAGAUUUGGUACCACAUGCAUUUAUGUGUCCAUAAGUGCAUAUCAUAGCAUGAGUCUUAUGUGAAAUAUGUGAUUGGUGAUGAAUUGAGAUGAAUGAUUAUUGAUGAUGUUUGUGAUUGACGAUUGUGAAUGAAUAUUUGUGAAUUGAUAAUUGUUCAUGAAUUAUGAUAAUGAUUGUUCAUGACUUUGGAUUGGUGAUUGUUCAUGAUGUAUAUGAUCGGUGAUUGUUCAUGAUGUAUAUGAUCAGUGAUUGUUCAUGAUGUAUAUGAUUGGUGAUCGUGUAUGAAUAACUAUGAAUUGAUAUUUAUUUAUGAUACAAGUAAUUGGUGAUUGUUCAUGAAAUGUGAUUAAUGAUUAUUCAUGAUAAACGUGAUUGGUGAUUAUGAAUGAAUAAUUGUAAAUUGAUAAUUGUUCAUAUGAUUGACGAAUAUUGAUGUGAGAUAUCGGGGUGUGAUGUAAGUAUUAAUGUGUAAUUAUUAUUGAUCAAGUGCAUGAUGUUUAAAUUGAAAUAUUCAUGUUAACUGUUAUUUGGAUUAUGAUAAUGUAAUACUUACCCCCAGUGGAUCUGUUAUGGACCGCCUGCCUAUCUGUAUGGAUGGGUAGACGUUGUGCAGGAUUAGAUGCUUGGUGAGUUCUUGUGCUUGGUGGAUAUCUGGAGCUUUCUCCGAUAUCGGUGUUUAGAUGUUUAGUCGGCUCUGAUCUAGGCUUAGUUGUGUCAGUCUAGAUUAUCUUUUACUUUGGUUUUGUUAUGUUUGGAGAUUACCCGUUUGUUGGGAUUUUUGAGAUGCAUCUAUGUUGAUGUAAUUUAUUUAUUCAUAACAUGUAUAUUUGAAUUUACUCUGGUUUAUAUUCCGC